AUUGAACGCUGGCGGCAGGCCUAACACAUGCAAGUCGAGCGAGCGGCGGACGGGUGAGUAAUGUCUGGGAAACUGCCUGAUGGAGGGGGAUAACUACUGGAAACGGUAGCUAAUACCGCAUACCAUCAGAGGUGCCCAGGUUGGAUUAGCUAGUAGGUCGGGUAACGGCUCACCUAGGCAACGAUCCCUAGCUGGUCUGAGAGGAUGAACAGCCACACUGGAACUGAGACACGGUCCAGACUCCUACGGGAGGCAGCAGUGGGGAAUAUUGCACAAUGGGCGCAAGCCUGAUGCAGCCAUGCCGCGUGUGUGAAGAAGGCCUUCGGGUUGUAAAGCACUUUCAGCGGGGAGGCGUUACCCGCAGAAGAAGCACCGGCUAACUCCGUGCCAGCAGCCGCGGUAAUUC
rnacentral:rRNA from 1 species